rnacentral:rRNA from 1 species
UGGGGAAUCUUGCGCAAUGCGCGAAAGCGUGACGCAGCAACGCCGCGUGGGGGAAGACGGCCUUCGGGUUGUAAACCCCUUUCAGGAGGGACGAAGGUUCACCGGUGAAUAGCCGUGUGGAUUGACGGUACCUCCAGAAGAAGCUCCGGCUAACUACGUGCCAGCAGCCGCGGUAAUACGUAGGGAGCAAGCGUUGUCCGGAAUCAUUGGGCGUAAAGCGCGCGUAGGCGGCCCCGUAAGUCCGCUGUGAAAGUCAAAGGCUCAACCUUUGAAAGCCGGUGGAUACUGUGGGGCUAGAGUCCGGAAGAGGCGAGUGGAAUUCCUGGUGUAGCGGUGGAAUGCGCAGAUAUCAGGAGGAACACCAAUAGCGAAGGCAGCUCGCUGGGACGGUACUGACGCUAAGGCGCGAAAGCGUGGGGAGCGAACAGG